rnacentral:rRNA from 1 species
UACGUAGGGUGCAAGCGUUGUCCGGAAUUAUUGGGCGUAAAGAGCUCGUAGGCGGUUUGUCGCGUCUGCUGUGAAAACUGGAGGCUCAGCCUCCAGCCUGCAGUGGGUACGGGCAGACUAGAGUGCGGUAGGGGAGAUUGGAAUUCCUGGUGUAGCGGUGGAAUGCGCAGAUAUCAGGAGGAACACCGAUGGCGAAGGCAGAUCUCUGGGCCGUAACUGACGCUGAGGAGCGAAAGCAUGGGGAGCGAACAGG